ensembl:lncRNA
GGCCCAUUGCAAUCCUUUAGGAAAAGGUCUGUCAUGUACCUACAUAAGGCAAUACAGUACUUAAUAACCUGAAUGCUAAGGAAAUAUUUACCACUGAGAAGUCAAGGCUAUAAGGGGACUUUACACAGCAUGACCACUACUGAGGAAAAAGGAUGAGUAUAUAGCAGUGUUUCUCAAACUUUUUCAGACCAAGGACCACUUAGCCAAUAAAAAAAAAACUUGCGGACCAUCUAACUAAACAUAGCACAAAAAGUAAGGAAAUUUGUGUUUGGUAGAUUAUUUCUUUGUUGUAACAAUGCUUCUUGGCAAUACAUCUUAUACCGUUGGAAAGCCUGUUUAUUUCCCUUUUUUUUUAAUUUAAAUUAUGCCACAUUUGUAAGGAACAUAAAAUGCCUAUACAAAGGGCUCUGGUGAUUUGAAAAGGUAGACAAAGCCCCUGAUAUUUCAUUUUUAUCUCACUCGCACAUUGCCCUAAGUCUCAUUUGAUUCAAGCUCAGAUUCAGCCUGAGCUGAGGCGUGAAGGGACUGUUGGAAGUCGUCUAAAUCAUUGACAAAAUGCCUCUUCAGGACUCUGGAGAGAAUGUAGGCUGUUCCGUUAAAAAUGAGUACAGAUUCACAUGGAUGCUUGGCAUGUCUAAUCAUGUAACACACAUCACACAGGGAAUUAACCAGGAGUCUUCUGAGCCCAUGAUUGUGUUGCUCAUUAUCACUCAGGGUAUCACGCAGGUGGAAAGAGAGCAUAUUUACAUACGCUCCGAUCCCUCGUCGUUUGCAUAGUCAUUCUUUCAUGACUGAAACCAUGAAAUUACCAUGCCAACAAGUUAAAGGAUUAGGGAGACUUGUAUGACAAUGAAUGACAAGUAGCCUGAACCCCAAGCAGACUAAAGUUAUUAAAAUGACAAAACUUUAGGGCCUUUCCACGAUUUUUAUUACCACAGAAUUUCCAGAAACUGGACUCUGAAAUCUUUCAGUCAUUUGAGGUUUUAUGGAUGACACUGCCAUCCAGUGGACUAAUGUUGAUCUGCGGCGGAAAAUAAUAAAUACAUAGAUAAAUAAGUAAUGUCCAGGGCAUGAUCAGAUAGCAACCAAUCGUUGAGAGGUUUUAUCUUUCAUUGUCUUAUCUAAACAGCAAUCAGGUAUUGUUAAGAGAGAAUCAGCGACGACAUUGGUCUCUCUAGAGAAGCUUGCAACAGCCUUCAUACUCGGAUAUGAUGCUUGCUAUUUGCUAUUAGUUAAAAUUACAAUGAUGUAAAAGAUGAUAAAAUUAUGAAUCGGUGCAUGAGUCAAGAUUAAUAAAUCCAGAUAUGAACCCUGUACUCUAACGUCAUCAAACACGUCUAUGGAAUGUCGUGGAGUAUGGCGCCACCUUCUGGUAAACUUGCGAACUGUGGAAUGUAGGUAGAUUACGUCAUUGUCUGGGAAAAAUCAAUUUAUGGGUCAUCUACUAGGUCGCUCUAAAUAGCACGCAUCAGUUUGGGAAUCAUAAAUUAGAAAUAUUGGUAAAUGAAGACGACUUUGGUUUGGCCUAUCCAGGUUCAUGUAUAAAUGGUUGAGUACUAUGAAGACCAGACAGUAUGUAUAAAGUGUUAUUAAAUGUAUAUAUUUUAGAAAUUGGGCAGCUACCAUGGGUGCAAUUCCCCUGGAGACACCAACUGACAUGAAAUAAUUACCAUGCCAACAAGGUAAAGGAUUAGGGAGACUUGUAUGACAAUGAAUGACAAGUAGCCUGAACCCCAAGCAGACUAAAGUUAUUAAAAUGACAACACUUUAGGGCCUUUCCACGGUCUUAAUUACCACAGAAUUUUCAGAAACUGGACUGAAAACCGAAAGUCACUAGUUCAUAUUGUGAAAGGUAUAGGCUGCUUCUCUCUGCUUGUUAAAAUAGAUUUUCUAGAAAGACGACAGACCUUGCAAUAACAAGCCGUCAAUAAUCAAUGUGUUUGUCUCAGGGUCUCAUGAGCUACUUUCCGUGGCAACGGAAAAUAUCUAGCCAUGCAACAAUAUUAGAUUAUAUUGGUUAGCCUAGCUGCGAAUUUAGCCUAACCCUUUUCGUCAUGACCGAGCGGCAUUACGUCGGGCGAGCCGCAUCAAACGGUCAGAUACGUAUUGGAUUUUAUUAAGCAGAAUAGGAAUAUUAUUUGCUCGAUUAAAAAAAUACAAAUAAUAACGCGAGAGUUUGCAAGUUGGCUCCAGACUGUAGUUACAACUGUCAAAGGUAGAGUGGAUACGCGCAUGACCAGGCACACAUUACUGUAUUACUGUACACGGCCGCGAAGAUAAUAUCCGUAUAAAAAAUAGGCAUAAUCCAGAGCGGGGGCUACGAGCGUGGCUACCGACCGUGACGGCUGUCCGUCCGCAACGAACCCGGCACACGGGACGGCGGCAGGUGUGAUUGCCAUGUAACAUCAAAAGGCACCGAGCGAAGACUAGGCUACAGCCUGACCCCACGUGGGUGACCCGGGUCACCCGGCCACUCUUGUUGGGUGGUUCCAGCUUUCCAGGCAUGGAGACCUCCAGUGGUGCGCGACUAGGGAAGCCCCCCCCAGGGGUGGCCAAGGGCCGGCCUCCCAAGCAGGCCCACCCCCCUGAGACGGCCCGCACGGGCAGCUCGGAAAACGACAAUCACGGUGAAUAUACAACCGCCAGCCUCACACGCACACACACACACACACACACACACGUUAAACACUCACACGAUACACAAAUGCACUCACACACACAAACCCCAAAAACAUACACAUACAGCGCCCACCCCACACCCAAACAUACAUACAGACACACACACACACACACACACACACACACACACACAUUCCCUACUCUGCCUGGCAAGUGUGUACCUUAUCGGCCGAGGCCUCGCCGUAGGCAGUGGAGUGGCAUGGAUUAGAUGAGACUAAAGUGCCGCAGCGAAUGACACCCUUGUCUACAGGAGGGGCUUUGAUGUGGCGGCGCUCUGGUUGCCGUGCGCCGCGGAACUGUACAAUCUCUGGACACGCGUGACACGCCGUUUCUACAUCUGAGAACCUGUGGAGAAGCAGGGGGGGGGGGGGGGGCGUUCUGAACACUACAUCACCCAUGUGGAGGCAAAUUGUCUGUGAAUUAAGCCUAUAGGGGCC